rnacentral:rRNA from 1 species
UACGUAGGGGGCUAGCGUUGUUCGGAAUCAUUGGGCGUAAAGCGCGUGUAGGCGGUCCGGUAAGUCCGCUGUGAAAGUCGGGGGCUCAACCCUCGAAUGCCGGUGGAUACUGUCGGGCUUGAGUACGGAAGAGGCGAGUGGAAUUCCUGGUGUAGCGGUGAAAUGCGCAGAUAUCAGGAGGAACACCAAUUGCGAAGGCAGCUCGCUGGGACGUUACUGACGCUGAGACGCGAAAGCGUGGGGAGCAAACAGG